rnacentral:rRNA from 1 species
UGGGGAAUAUUGGACAAUGGGGGCAACCCUGAUCCAGCAAUGCCGCGUGUGUGAAGAAGGUCUUCGGAUUGUAAAGCACUUUCGACGGGGACGAUGAUGACGGUACCCGUAGAAGAAGCCCCGGCUAACUUCGUGCCAGCAGCCGCGGUAAUACGAAGGGGGCUAGCGUUGCUCGGAAUGACUGGGCGUAAAGGGCGUGUAGGCGGUUUACACAGUCAGAUGUGAAAUCCCCGGGCUUAACCUGGGAGCUGCAUUUGAUACGUGUAGACUAGAGUGUGAGAGAGGGUUGUGGAAUUCCCAGUGUAGAGGUGAAAUUCGUAGAUAUUGGGAAGAACACCGGUGGCGAAGGCGGCAACCUGGCUCAUGACUGACGCUGAGGCGCGAAAGCGUGGGGAGCAAACAGGUUAGAUACCCUGGUAGUCCACGCCUGUAAACGAU